CUCUUAAAGUGACGGUUCACAAAGUUCCUCGUGACAAUUGAAAGACAAAUCAGAACUACAGGGAGAACAAUGAAGGAAUGGAGAGUGCAAGAAGGAAAGAGGAAAGAAAGCUUGAUGCGUCUCUCUUGGCAACAAUAACAUCAUGGAAAACAUUUGCUCACUGCCAAAGAUCAAACGAGAAGGACACGAGAAGCUGGAACACACGAACAACAACACGUUAACAACAGGAAACCAAGCGUUGAAUGUCUUCCCCCGCCUCCAGCAUCCAACCUCCCACAGCGUAUUUGGAAAACUCAACAGGAACGUCCACAAAGAGACUUGAAAGAUCGAAGAAAAAGCACAAAGAGACGAAGGGAACAGGCGAAGGAGACCAACACGACAAAAAUAGAUUUGACUAGUCUAAUGGCAAACACACCUGCAAGCGAUCGUAGGAAGCUAAAGGUCACUGAAACAUUCCAGGCCCGCCGUCAAGAGCCGUGGAGACGCUGCUAAAUAAUGAGAAACAAGAGUCAAGAUGACUUGAAUGUGAAAAUGAUGUAUUUAAAACAUUGUAGGGAAAUAUUUUUCUGCAAGGCUGCUUUGAAACAUUGGGAAAUACGUACAGAAAACUGUGGGGAAUUGAAUUCACUCCCAGUAUGACUUUCUUUUCUCCAUUGAGCACAAAUUUUUAAACAAUGCACCGGUCUCUCAUUUUCAUCCCGUUACAAGUCAUGCGAAAUACUAUUUAUUCCCGGUUGUGUAGUCAUCAUUCACAAAAACAAAACCCUGAUUACUGAGAAACACUACAACCGGAUCAUUGAGUCAAGAUGAGUCACAUUAAUAAGUGAAUCAUAAAGACUAGGAUAGAAUAAUGCCUUGUACAGCAGUGCAAUAACAAUAAAGGUAUCGUAGUUAUAAUUUCUGUUCUGUUUUAUUAAUAAAUAAAAAAAAUUAAGAAAAAUUUAAGAGACUAUUCCAUUUAAUCAGAUGUAU